GCGGCAUGGCCGAGCGGUAAGGCGGGGGACUGCAAAUCCUCUUUUCCCCAGUUCAAAUCCGGGUGUCGCCUGAUCAAUAAAAGAA
rnacentral:tRNA from 1 species